UACGUAGGGUGCGAGCGUUGUCCGGAAUUAUUGGGCGUAAAGAGCUCGUAGGCGGUUUGUUGCGUCGGCCGUGAAAACUUGGGGCUUAACCCCGAGCCUGCGGUCGAUACGGGCAGACUUGAGUUCGGCAGGGGAGACUGGAAUUCCUGGUGUAGCGGUGGAAUGCGCAGAUAUCAGGAGGAACACCAGUGGCGAAGGCGGCUCACUGGCCCGGUACUGACGCUGAGGUGCGAAAGCGUGGGGAGCAAACAGG
rnacentral:rRNA from 1 species